rnacentral:rRNA from 1 species
GACGAACGCUGGCGGCGUGCUUAACACAUGCAAGUCGAGCGGUAAGGCCCUUUCGGGGGUACACGAGCGGCGAACGGGUGAGUAACACGUGGGUGACCUGCCCUUAGCUCUGGGAUAAGCCUGGGAAACUGGGUCUAAUACCGGAUAUGACCUCAUGACGCAUGUUGUGGGGUGGAAAGCCUUGUGCGGCUAGGGAUGGGCCCGCGGCCUAUCAGCUUGUUGGUGGGGUGAUGGCCACCAAGGCGACGACGGGUAGCCGGCCUGAGAGGGCGACCGGCCACACUGGGACUGAGACACGGCCCAGACUCCUACGGGAGGCAGCAGUGGGGAAUCUUGCGCAAUGGGCGAAAGCCUGACGCAGCGACGCCGCGUGAGGGAUGACGGCCUCGGUUGUAA